CCUACGGGUGGCAGCAGUGAGGAAUAUUGGUCAAUGGACGAGAGUCUGAACCAGCCAAGUAGCGUGAAGGAUGACUGCCCUAUGGGUUGUAAACUUCUUUUAUAAAGGAAUAAAACGAGGCACGUGUGCCUUUUUGCAUGUACUUUAUGAAUAAGGAUCGGCUAACUCCGUGCCAGCAGCCGCGGUAAUACGGAGGAUCCGAGCGUUAUCCGGAUUUAUUGGGUUUAAAGGGAGCGUAGAUGGGUUGUUAAGUCAGUUGUGAAAGUUUGCGGCUCAACCAUAAAAUUGCAAUUGAUACUGGCAGUCGUGAGUACAGUUGAGGUAGGCGGAAUUCGUGGUGUAGCGGUGAAAUGCUUAGAUAUCACGAAGAACCCCGAUUGCGAAGGCAGCUUACUAAACUGUGACUGACAUUGAUGCUCGAAAGUGUGGGUAUCAAACAGGAUUAGAUACCCUUGUAGUC
rnacentral:rRNA from 1 species